rnacentral:SRP_RNA from 1 species
AUUGCUGUGCGACUUAUUACUUUCAAACCCCGCCAGGCCCGGAAGGGAGCAACGGUAGAAAGCAAAUAGGGGUGCACGGCAUUUUU